rnacentral:rRNA from 1 species
UACGGGGGGAGCAAGCGUUGUUCGGAUUUACUGGGCGUAAAGGGCGCGUAGGCGGCCAGCACAAGUCAGUUGUGAAAUCUCCGAGCUUAACUCGGAAAGGUCAACUGAUACUGUGCGGCUAGAGUGCAGAAGGGGCAACUGGAAUUCUUGGUGUAGCGGUGGAAUGCGCAGAUAUCAGGAGGAACACCAAUAGCGAAGGCAGCUCGCUGGGACGUUACUGACACUGAGGCGCGAAAGCCGUGGGGAGCGAACAGG